rnacentral:rRNA from 1 species
GUGUCAGCAGCCGCGGUAAUACGAAGGGUGCAAGCGUUAAUCGGAAUUACUGGGCGUAAAGCGCGCGUAGGUGGUUCAGCAAGUUGGAUGUGAAAGCCCCGGGCUCAACCUGGGAACUGCAUCCAAAACUACUGAGCUAGAGUACGGUAGAGGGUGGUGGAAUUUCCUGUGUAGCGGUGAAAUGCGUAGAUAUAGGAAGGAACACCAGUGGCGAAGGCGACCACCUGGACUGAUACUGACACUGAGGUGCGAAAGCGUGGGGAGCAAACAGGAUUAGAAACCCCUGUAGUCC